CUGAGUUGCGCUCCUUUUAGGGGCCCUCUCCACCCUGUGCGAACUACAUCUGUUGCUUUGGCGGGCCGUCGGUCCUGCCGCCGCUGGCUCCAGCUAGCGAGCGCCCGCCAAAGGCCUUUUAAAAUCUUUUUAUUUUGACGUCUGAGCGAGAAAAAAAUGCGAA
rnacentral:misc_RNA from 1 species